GAUGAACGCUGGCGGCGUGCCUAAUACAUGCAAGUCGAGCGAACAGACGAGGAGCUUGCUCCUCUGACGUUAGCGGCGGACGGGUGAGUAACACGUGGAUAACCUACCUAUAAGACUGGGAUAACUUCGGGAAACCGGAGCUAAUGCCGGAUAAUAUAUUGAACCGCAUGGUUCAAUAGUGAAAGACGGUUUUGCUGUCACUUAUAGAUGGAUCCGCGCCGCAUUAGCUAGUUGGUAAGGUAACGGCUUACCAAGGCAACGAUGCGUAGCCGACCUGAGAGGGUGAUCGGCCACACUGGAACUGAGACACGGUCCAGACUCCUACGGGAGGCAGCAGUAGGGAAUCUUCCGCAAUGGGCGAAAGCCUGACGGAGCAACGCCGCGUGAGUGAUGAAGGCCUUCGGAUCGUAAAACUCUGUUAUUAGGGAAGAACAAAUGUGUAAGUAACUAUGCACGUCUUGACGGUACCUAAUCAGAAAGCCACGGCUAACUACGUG
rnacentral:rRNA from 1 species